rnacentral:lncRNA from 1 species
CUAUGUUUUAUGUGAUAAUAUGAUGCUAUAUGUGCAUGGGACUACAUUUGUUGUUGAUGAGACAAAGCUUGGGGGGAGUCUUGGUGAUCUGAUUGAUGGUUCAACCUACUCAGUAGGUUGGGAACUUGGUCCUCGAAGACCCUCGGCAGAAUAAAAUUCUAAGUUGAAAGGUGAGAAUGAAAGAUUGAGGAAACAGGUGGAGGAACUGAGAUAGCAGAUGAUCCUUGAUCAAAGGAAAGUAAAUGAACGAAUGGACAAGCUCAUUAAGGACUUAGCCCCUUAUUUUUCCUCCAGGCCAGUGAUUCAUGUCUUUCACUCCUUCCAAAUUCCCUUGAAUUCUUAUCCUCUUUUGAUCCCUAUAUUUGAUGACAUUGGUACUUCAGUUGUUUAAAUUGGCAUAUUAUGUAUUUUUUUAUUGUGCUUUUAUUAUUAUUACCUCACUAUGGGCAAUCACUCUAUGUUGUGCAUUGACAUUCACUUGUUGUCCUUAUUAUUGUUUAUGUUGUGUUGCCCAAGUAGCCUAAGUUAAUGUUGCUGAACUUCUUUUUGGUAUUACUUCUUCUGUUAUUCUUUUUGAUGAUGCCAAAUUAGGGAAGUUAUAUAGGUGUCAACAUGGGAGGAACAUAAUCAAAUGUUACGCAUGAAAGAUGGAUCUGCUUCACAGGGGGAAUGUUGCUGAUAAUAUAGGGAAACAUAUGAGAAAUUAGGUUCUCUGGUUAUGUUUCAGAUAACUCUGCUUUGUUGGGGGGAACGAUGAUGAUACUGCAAGGAAACAUAUGAGGAAUUUGGUUCUCUGCUUCUCAAGAGAUAGGUCUGCUUCACAUAGGGAAUGUUGCUGAUAAUAUGUUGAUUAUAGGGCUGAUCCAUGUGAGGAACCUAGUUCUCAGGAGGAAUCUCAAUUUUGGAUUUGUCAUCAUAAAAAAUGAGGAAAUUGAUAAGUUAAGGUAUUUCGAGUUUUGAUGAUUUGCCAAACAGCUUUGAGGAACCGUUUGUGAUCAGCUCUUUAGCUUUGGUUCUCAUAGGGAAUAUUGCUGAUUCGUAGAGGGAAAAAUAUGGAGAUCUGGUUCUCGGUAGGAUUAUAAAUUCUAUGUUUGUAUUCAUCAAAAA